rnacentral:rRNA from 1 species
AUUGAACGCUGGCGGCAUGCCUUACACAUGCAAGUCGAACGGUAACGGGCCUUCGGGUGCCGACGAGUGGCGAACGGGUGAGUAAUACAUCGGAACGUGCCCGAUCGUGGGGGAUAGCGAGGCGAAAGCUUUGCUAAUACCGCAUACGAUCUACGGAUGAAAGCAGGGGACCGCAAGGCCUUGCGCGGACGGAGCGGCCGAUGGCAGAUUAGGUAGUUGGUGGGAUAAAAGCUUACCAAGCCGACGAUCUGUAGCUGGUCUGAGAGGAUGAUCAGCCACACUGGGACUGAGACACGGCCCAGACUCCUACGGGAGGCAGCAGUGGGGAAUUUUGGACAAUGGGCGCAAGCCUGAUCCAGCCAUGCCGCGUGAAGGAUGAAGGCCUUCGGGUUGUAAACUGCUUUUGUACGGAACGAAAAGCCUUCUUUUAAUACAGGAGGGUCAUGACGGUACCGUAAGAAUAAGCACCGGCUAACUACGUG